UACGUAGGGUGCAAGCGUUGUCCGGAAUUAUUGGGCGUAAAGAGCUCGUAGGCGGUCUGUCGCGUCGGAUGUGAAAACCCGGGGCUCAACCCCGGGCCUGCAUUCGAUACGGGCAGACUAGAGUUCGGUAGGGGAGUCUGGAAUUCCUGGUGUAGCGGUGAAAUGCGCAGAUAUCAGGAGGAACACCGGUGGCGAAGGCGGCUCACUGGCCCGGUACUGACGCUGAGGUGCGAAAGCGUGGGGAGCAAACAGG
rnacentral:rRNA from 1 species